CCUACGGGAGGCAGCAGUGGGGAAUAUUGCACAAUGGGGGAAACCCUGAUGCAGCGAAGCCGCGUGAGUGAAGAAGUAAUUCGUUAUGUAAAGCUCUAUCAGCAGGGAAGAAAAUGACGGUACCUGAGUAAGAAGCCCCGGCGAAAUACGUGCCAGCAGCCGCGGGAAUACGCAGGGGGCAAGCGUUAUCCGGAUUUACUGGGUGUAAAGGGAGCGUAGGCGGCAGUGCAAGUCUGGAGUGAAAGGCGGGGGCUCAACCCCCGGACUGCUGUUGAAACUGUGCGGCUUGAGUGCAGGAGAGGUAAGUGGAAUGCGUGGUGUAGCGGUGAAAUGCGUAGAUAUUAGGAAGAACACCGGUGGCGAAGGCAGCGUACCGGACUGUAACUGACGUUGAGGCUCGAAAGCGUGGGGAGCGAACAGGAUUAGAUACCCCGGUAGUC
rnacentral:rRNA from 1 species